AACGAACGCUGGCGGCAGGUUUAACACAUGCAAGUCGAACGCAUCCUUCGGGGUGAGUGGCAGACGGGUGAGUAACGCGUGGGAACGUGCCCUUCAGUUCGGGAUAACCCAGGGAAACUUGGGCUAAUACCGGAUACGUGCGAGAGCAGAAAGAUUUAUCGCUGAAGGAUCGGCCCGCGUCUGAUUAGCUAGUUGGUGGGGUAAUGGCCCACCAAGGCGACGAUCAGUAGCUGGUCUGAGAGGAUGAUCAGCCACAUUGGGACUGAGACACGGCCCAAACUCCUGCGGGAGGCAGCAGUGGGGAAUAUUGGACAAUGGGCGCAAGCCUGAUCCAGCCAUGCCGCGGGAGUGAUGAAGGCCUUAGGGUUGUAAAGCUCUUUCGUCCGGGACGAUAAUGACGGUACCGGAAGAAGAAGCCCCGGCUAACUUCGUGCCAGCAGCCGCCGUAA
rnacentral:rRNA from 1 species